rnacentral:tRNA from 1 species
ACCCGACCCGGGGAGGGGUAUUUGGGAUUCUAAGUCUCGGAUUCCUCGUUUCGGUGAUCGUCUCGCUGAUCGGGUAC